rnacentral:lncRNA from 1 species
GAGAAUGGAGCCACAGUCAGUGUGGGGAGGGGACUGUGGCGAGGGGCAGCUGGGUGGCUGGAGGAUGUGCUGAAAAGGCUUCUGUGGUGGAAACAGCUCAGCUGGGUCUCUAGACGACAAGAAUCUACCCAGAGCAGAUGUAGGGAGGCAUUUCCCUAGGGGAGAAGAAACAGAUCCCAUCUGAGCGUCUGCCGUGGGUGUGAAUCGGGUGAGGAGAGCUGGGCCUGGUAAGCUGAGACUGGAAGAGGAAGAGAUGAGAGAAGUCUGAGCCUCACUUUGUUGGCAUUACUGGCCUCCAGCUCAUUUUCAGAUGUCACACGGCCCCUGGCCUUCACUGUGCCCUGAGAUGUGGGGCAGACGCCUCCAUCUUUCAGAGAAGGAUAAAGUAAGAGGAAGUUUCUGACUCCUGACUUCAGGAUGGAGGAGCUCCGAGGUUCUCCAGGAUUCUGAACCAUCUGGCAUGAAGAGACGCGCUGGAGGAGCGAGGCUGACGACUUUGGCCACCUGGCCUCCAAAUGACCUUGAACUACUGGGUCACAGCCUCAGCUGGCAGAUCUUGCCAUUGGCACCUCUAAGACACAAAAAGCAGCCUCCCUGAGGCUCCUGGGGGCUGCAGAGACCCCCGUGGCACCAGAAGCCAACACUUCCAGGCGGGGCACCUGGGUCUCUCCAAGGCCCCUUGGACAGAGAGGAGAGAUGAGUAACCACAGGCAGGGGUGGGGAGCAGGGCUGGGGAGCCCAGCAUGUGACCCACAGCAUGACUACACGGACGCUGUUUUGGGACAUUCCAGAAGCACCCACAGGGAGCAUGCCCAGCCCCUGCUGAAACCCUUCGUCCUCCUCCCACGUUUUGUAGUAACAGAGCUUUCCCUCUCCUCCGAAUCCUGCAGUCAUACAGCAUUCAGGGUCUGGAGCAAAAUCUCCACCCCAACUUCAAACAUGAUCCCCAAAAGGAGACAGGGUGACCACCAGCCUUCAGGGACGGGAUUACCUGGCCAACAUGUAGACACAUAGCCCUACAUCUCCACAGGCGACACCAAGCAAACGAGGACUCGGGCUGAAACAGGAGAGGUUGCAAGAGGCAGAAGAAAGAACUUGCUUUUUUAGAAAAAUAUACAUUUAACUUAUUUGUUUCCAACUAUACAAUGAUUUAAAGACAAACAGAAUAUUCCAAGUAGAGAAGAACAUUUUAAAAUUGCUUAGCUUGUGCAUGCAUUAAUUUGGG